GACGAACCACACGAACGUUAUUCGGAAUUACUGGGCUUAAAGCGUGUGUAGGCGGGCCGUUAAGUGUCUUGUGAAAUCCCCCGGCUCAACCGGGGAAUUGCUGGGCAUACUGGCGGUCUUGAGCGAUCUAGGGGCAGAUGGAACAAGUGGUGGAGCGGUGAAAUGCGUAGAUAUCACUUGGAACGCCAAAGGUGAAGACAGUCUGCUGGGGAUCUGCUGACGCUGAGACACGAAAGCCAGGGGAGCGAACGGG
rnacentral:rRNA from 1 species